rnacentral:rRNA from 1 species
AAUAGAUACCCAGGUAGUCCACCCCGUAAACGUUGGGAACUAGUUGUGGGGUCCUUUCCACGGAUUCCGUGACGCAGCUAACGCAUUAAGUUCCCCGCCUGGGGAGUACGGCCGCAAGGCUAAAACUCAAAGGAAUUGACGGGGACCCGCACAAGCGGCGGAGCAUGCGGAUUAAUUCGAUGCAACGCGAAGAACCUUACCAAGGCUUGACAUACACCAGAACACCCUAGAAAUAGGGGACUCUUUGGACACUGGUGAGCAGGUGGUGCAUGGUUGUCGUCAGCUCGUGUCGUGAGAUGUUGGGUUAAGUCCCGCAACGAGCGCAACCCUCGUUCUAUGUUGCCAGCACGUAAUGGUGGGAACUCAUGGGAUACUGCCGGGGUCAACUCGGAGGAAGGUGGGGAUGACGUCAAAUCAUCAUGCCCCUUAUGUCUUGGGCUUCACGCAUGCUACAAUGGCCGGUACAAAGGGCUGCAAUACCGUGAGGUGGAGCGAAUCCCAAAAAGCCGGUCCCAGUUCGGAUUGAGGUCUGCAACUCGACCUC